GCCGAAGUGGUGGAAUUGGUAGACACGCCAUCUUGAGGGGGUGGUGGCCUUUUGGUCGUGCGGGUUCAAGUCCCGCCUUCGGCACCA
rnacentral:tRNA from 1 species